rnacentral:rRNA from 1 species
GAUGAACGCUGGCGGCGUGCUUAACACAUGCAAGUCGAACGAUGAAGCCCAGCUUGCUGGGUGGAUUAGUGGCGAACGGGUGAGUAACACGUGAGUAACCUGCCCUUGACUCUGGGAUAAGCCCGGGAAACUGGGUCUAAUACCGGAUAGGAGCGCCUGUCGCAUGACGGGUGUUGGAAAGAUUUUUCGGUCAUGGAUGGACUCGCGGCCUAUCAGCUUGUUGGUGAGGUAAUGGCUCACCAAGGCGACGACGGGUAGCCGGCCUGAGAGGGUGACCGGCCACACUGGGACUGAGACACGGCCCAGACUCCUACGGGAGGCAGCAGUGGGGAAUAUUGCACAAUGGGCGGAAGCCUGAUGCAGCGACGCCGCGUGAGGGAUGACGGCCUUCGGGUUGUAAACCCCUUUCAGUAGGGAAGAAGCGAAAGUGACGGUACCUGCAGAAGAAGCACCGGCUAACUACGUG